rnacentral:rRNA from 1 species
CUCAGGAUGAACGCUAGCUACAGGCUUAACACAUGCAAGUCGAGGGGCAGCAUGGUCUUAGCUUGCUAAGGCCGAUGGCGACCGGCGCACGGGUGAGUAACACGUAUCCAACCUGCCGUCUACUCUUGGACAGCCUUCUGAAAGGAAGAUUAAUACAAGAUGGCAUCAUGAGUCCGCAUGUUCACAUGAUUAAAGGUAUUCCGGUAGACGAUGGGGAUGCGUUCCAUUAGAUAGUAGGCGGGGUAACGGCCCACCUAGUCUUCGAUGGAUAGGGGUUCUGAGAGGAAGGUCCCCCACAUUGGAACUGAGACACGGUCCAAACUCCUACGGGAGGCAGCAGUGAGGAAUAUUGGUCAAUGGGCGAGAGCCUGAACCAGCCAAGUAGCGUGAAGGAUGACUGCCCUAUGGGUUGUAAACUUCUUUUAUAAAGGAAUAAAGUCGGGUAUGGAUACCCGUUUGCAUGUACUUUAUGAAUAAGGAUCGGCUAACUCCGUGCCAGCAGCCGCGGUAAUACGGAGGAUCCGAGCGUUAUCCGGAUUUAUUGGGUUUAAAGGGAGCGUAGAUGGAUGUUUAAGUCAGUUGUGAAAGUUUGCGGCUCAACCGUAAAAUUGCAGUUGAUACUGGAUAUCUUGAGUGCAGUUGAGGCAGGCGGAAUUCGUGGUGUAGCGGUGAAAUGCUUAGAUAUCACGAAGAACUCCGAUUGCGAAGGCAGCCUGCUAAGCUGCAACUGACAUUGAGGCUCGAAAGUGUGGGUAUCAAACAGGAUUAGAUACCCUGGUAGUCCACACGGUAAACGAUGAAUACUCGCUGUUUGCGAUAUACUGCAAGCGGCCAAGCGAAAGCGUUAAGUAUUCCACCUGGGGAGUACGCCGGCAACGGUGAAACUCAAAGGAAUUGACGGGGGCCCGCACAAGCGGAGGAACAUGUGGUUUAAUUCGAUGAUACGCGAGGAACCUUACCCGGGCUUAAAUUGCAGAUGAAUUACGGUGAAAGCCGUAAGCCGCAAGGCAUCUGUGAAGGUGCUGCAUGGUUGUCGUCAGCUCGUGCCGUGAGGUGUCGGCUUAAGUGCCAUAACGAGCGCAACCCUUGUUGUCAGUUACUAACAGGUUCCGCUGAGGACUCUGACAAGACUGCCAUCGUAAGAUGUGAGGAAGGUGGGGAUGACGUCAAAUCAGCACGGCCCUUACGUCCGGGGCUACACACGUGUUACAAUGGGGGGUACAGAGGGCCGCUACCACGCGAGUGGAUGCCAAUCCCCAAAACCUCUCUCAGUUCGGACUGGAGUCUGCAACCCGACUCCACGAAGCUGGAUUCGCUAGUAAUCGCGCAUCAGCCACGGCGCGGUGAAUACGUUCCCGGGCCUUGUACACACCGCCCGUCAAGCCAUGGGAGCCGGGGGUACCUGAAGUGCGUAACCGCGAGGAGCGCCCUAGGGUAAAACUGGUGACUGGGGCUAAGUCGUA